rnacentral:rRNA from 1 species
GAUGAACGCUGGCUGUGUGCCUAAUACAUGCAUGUCGAGCGGAGUUCUUCGGAACUUAGCGGCGAAUGGGUGAGUAACACGUACUUAACGUGCCCUCUAGAUUGGGAUAACGAUGAGAAAUUAUCGCUAAUACCGGAUACUUAUUAGUUUGGCAUCAAACUAAUAUAAAAGGAGCGUUUGCUUCACUAGAGGAUCGGGGUGCGGAACAUUAGUUUGUUGGUAAGGUAAUGGCUUACCAAGACGAUGAUGUUUAGCGGGGUUGAGAGACUGAUCCGCCACACUGGGACUGAGAUACGGCCCAGACUCCUACGGGAGGCAGCAGUAGGGAAUUUUCCACAAUGGACGAAAGUCUGAUGGAGCGACACAGCGUGCAGGAAGACGGCCUUCGGGUUGUAAACUGCUGUUAUAAGGGAAGAAAAAGCAGUAGAGGAAAUGCUAUUGCCUUGACGGUACCUUGUCAGAAAGCAACGGCUAACUAUGUGCCAGCAGCCGCGGUAAUACAUAGGUUGCAAGCGUUAUCCGGAAUUAUUGGGCGUAAAGCGUCUGUAGGUUGUGUGUUAAGUCUGGCGUUAAAACUUGGGGCUCAACCCCAAAUUGCGUUGGAUACUGGCACGCUAGAAUUGUGUAGAGGUUAGCGGAAUUCCUAGUGAAGCGGUGAAAUGCGUAGAUAUUAGGAAGAACACCAACAUGGCGAAGGCAGCUAACUGGGCACAUAUUGACACUGAGAGACGAAAGCGUGGGGAGCAAACAGGAUUAGAUACCCUGGUAGUCCACGCUGUAAACGAUGAUGAUUAGCUGAUAGAGAACUAUCGGCGCAGCUAACGCAUUAAAUCAUCCGCCUGAGUAGUAUGCUCGCAAGAGUGAAACUUAAAGGAAUUGACGGGGACCCGCACAAGCGGUGGAGCAUGUGGUUUAAUUUGAAGAUACGCGUAGAACCUUACCCACUCUUGACAUCUUCCGCAAUGCUAUAGAGAUAUAGCGGAGGCUAACGGAAUGACAGAUGGUGCAUGGUUGUCGUCAGCUCGUGUCGUGAGACGUUCGGUUAAGUCCUGCAACGAGCGCAACCCUUAUCCUUAGUUAAAUGUUCUAGGGAGACUGCCCGAGUAAUUGGGAGGAAGGUGGGGACGACGUCAAAUCAUCAUGCCUCUUACGAGUGGGGCAACACACGUGCUACAAUGGAUAGUACAAAGAGAAGCAAUACGGCGACGUGGAGCAAAUCUCAAAAAACUAUUCUCAGUUCGGAUUGUAGUCUGCAACUCGACUACAUGAAGUCGGAAUCGCUAGUAAUCGUAGAUCAGCUACGCUACGGUGAAUACGUUCUCGGGUCU